rnacentral:rRNA from 1 species
AGCGAACGCUGGCGGCAGGCCUAACACAUGCAAGUCGAACGGAUCCUUCGGGAUUAGUGGCGGACGGGUGAGUAACACGUGGGAACGUGCCCUUUGGUUCGGAACAACUCAGGGAAACUUGAGCUAAUACCGGAUGUGCCCUUCGGGGGAAAGAUUUAUCGCCAUUGGAGCGGCCCGCGUCUGAUUAGCUAGUUGGUGAGGUAAGGGCUCACCAAGGCGACGAUCAGUAGCUGGUCUGAGAGGAUGAUCAGCCACAUUGGGACUGAGACACGGCCCAAACUCCUACGGGAGGCAGCAGUGGGGAAUCUUGCGCAAUGGGCGAAAGCCUGACGCAGCCAUGCCGCGUGAAUGAUGUAGGUCUUAGGAUUGUAAAAUUCUUUCACCGGGGACGAUAAUGACGGUACCCGGAGAAGAAGCCCCGGCUAACUUCGUGCCAGCAGCCGCGGUAA